AUGCGCCAGCUAAGGCUCAUCACCAACAUGAGGGCUCAUAAUGACACCUGGUUUGCAGAUUACUUGCUAAGGGCAGGCAAUGGUACCGAGGAAGUUGAUGAUCAAGGAAACAUACGACUCCCUGAAGAUAUUUGUGUGUCGUCUACAGGUGAGGGUGACGACCUGGAGAAGCUAAUUGACCAUGUGUUUCUGAGAUUAGAUGACAACAUGUCGGAUCCGAAUUACACGACUUCACGCGCAAUCCUCUCCACCACGAACAACAACGUCGACAAGAUAAACAUACGCAUGGUAGAU
rnacentral:rRNA from 1 species